rnacentral:rRNA from 1 species
GAUGAACGCUGGCGGCGUGCCUAAUACAUGCAAGUCGAGCGAACGGACGAGAAGCUUGCUUCUCUGAUGUUAGCGGCGGACGGGUGAGUAACACGUGGAUAACCUACCUAUAAGACUGGGAUAACUUCGGGAAACCGUAGCUAAUACCGGAUAAUAUUUUGAACCGCAUGGUUCAAAAGUGAAAGACGGUCUUGCUGUCACUUAUAGAUGGAUCCGCGCUGCAUUAGCUAGUUGGUAAGGUAACGGCUUACCAAGGCAACGAUGCAUAGCCGACCUGAGAGGGUGAUCGGCCACACUGGAACUGAGACACGGUCCAGGCGCCUACGGGAGGCAGCAGUAGGGAAUCUUCCGCAAUGGGCGAAAGCCUGACGGAGCAACGCCGCGUGAGUGAUGAAGGUCUUCGGAUCGUAAAACUCUGUUAUUAGGGAAGAACAUAUGUGUAAGUAACUGUGCACAUCUUGACGGUACCUAAUCAGAAAGCCACGGCUAACUACGUG